GCCUGGGUGGCUCAGUCGGUUGAGCAUCCAACUUCAGCUCAGGUCAUGAUCUUGCGUCCGUGAGUUCGAGCCCCGCCUCGGGCU
rfam:Felis catus breed Abyssinian Contig171349.1, whole genome shotgun sequence. [26-MAY-2016]